GUGGGGAAUAUUGGGCAAUGGGCGCAAGCCUGACCCAGCAACGCCGCGUGAGGGAAGAAGGUCUUCGGAUUGUAAACCUCUGUCCUUGGGGACGAAAAAAAUGACGGUACCCGAGGAGGAAGCUCCGGCUAACUACGUGCCAGCAGCCGCGGUAAUACGUAGGGAGCGAGCGUUGUCCGGAAUUACUGGGCGUAAAGGGUGCGUAGGCGGCAUGGCAAGUCAGAUGUGAAAUCCCCGGGCUUAACUCGGGAGUUGCAUUUGAAACUGCUGUGCUUGAGUGCAGGAGAGGAAAGCGGAAUUCCUAGUGUAGCGGUGAAAUGCGUAGAUAUUAGGUGGAACACCAGUGGCGAAGGCGGCUUUCUGGACUGUAACUGACGCUGAGGCACGAAAGCGUGGGGAGCAAACAGGAUUAGAAACCCCUGUAGUCC
rnacentral:rRNA from 1 species